rnacentral:rRNA from 1 species
AGCAGCCGCGGUAAUUCCAGCUCCAAUAGCGUAUAUUAAAGUUGUUGCAGUUAAAAAGCUCGUAGUUGAAUUUCGGGGUUAGUAGGUUGGUCAUGCCUCUGGUAUGUACUGGUCUCACUGAUUCCUCCUUCCUGAUGAACCUUAAUGCCAUUAAUUUGGUGUUUUGGGAAAUUUGGACUGUUACUUUGAAAAAAUUAGAGUGUUUAAAGCAAGCUAACGCUUGAAUACAUUAGCAUGGAAUAAUGAAAUAGGACGUUCGAUCCUAUUUUGUUGGUUUCUAGGAUUGACGUAAUGAUUAAUAGGGAUAGUUGGGGGCAUUAGUAUUCAAUUGUCAGAGGUGAAAUUCUUGGAUUUAUUGAAGACUAACUACUGCGAAAGCAUUUGCCAAGGAUGUUUUCAUUAAUCAAGAACGAAAGUUAGGGGAUCGAAGACGAUCAGAUACCGUCGUAGUCUUAACCAUAAACUAUGCCGACUAGGGAUCGGAUGAUGUUAAUUUUUUAAUGACUCA